rnacentral:rRNA from 1 species
AUUGAACGCUGGCGGCAUGCCUAACACAUGCAAGUCGAACGAGUGGCGGACGGGUGAGUAAUGUCUGGGACACUGCCCGAUGGAGGGGGAUAACUCCUGGAACCGGUAGCUAAUACCGCAUACCAUCAGAUGUGCCCAGAUGGGAUGAGCUAGUGGGUGGGGUAACGGCUCACCAAGGCGACGAUCCCUAGCUGGUCUGAGAGGAUGACCAGCCAAACGGGAACUGAGAAACGGUCCAGACUCAUACGGGAGGCAGCAGUGGGGAAUAUUGCACAAUGGGCGCAAGCCUGAUGCAGCCAUGCCGCGUGUAUGAAGAAGGCCUUCGGGUUGUAAAGUACUUUCAGCGGGGAGGCGUUACCCGCAGAAGAAGCACCGGCUAACUCCGUGCCAGCAGCCGCGGUAAUAC